rnacentral:tRNA from 1 species
GCGGGUGUAGCUCAAUGGUAGAGCAGCAGCCUUCCAAGCUGACGACGAGAGUUCGAUUCUCUUCACCCGCUCCA